AGAUGGGGUAGGUCAGCGUAAAGUCACUGGAUUGAGGAAAGUAGCGCAGGCUUUCCUUUUCCCGUCUUGACCUUCGAAUAACAAUGGCGGCCACUGCAUGUUGUGGAAUGCUACGGCCGCCAUUGUUGUUCCAAGGACGCGGCGGCAAAGAUCAGAGGAUGGCGGUACUUUCAAAAUUGAGUGACCUUAGGUCAGCGCACCCUUGCAUGUGGUACAAAGGACUGACGGCGCGCGGCCAAGCCGCUGCCCCAUAACUGGGGAGUAGUCUAGAAAUGUAGUGUAUCUAGCAGUGCCUAUCUAGCAAAACAAUUGCUAGAUACGCUAGCUAGCGUAUUUAGCAUCAACAAACAAGACCGCCCCCGUCCCCGCCCCAUCCCGCUCUUGCGAAUGUUAAUUAGGGCUAAACCACGUGAGCGCCAGCCCACAGAUACCGACCUCACUGUAUCAUCUGAGGAAUUUACCACGUGGGCACCAGCCCACUUUCACGACUCCAUCUGGUAAGCCAUCCCUGCAACAUGCCUUUCUUAAUAUUAUAAUUAGGUGCACGCCCUACUGUGUUGGAGUAAACCACGUCAGAGUGAUACCGACCUCACUGUGUCAUCUGAGGAAUUAACCACGUGGGCACCAGCCCCCAUAUCGUAAGCCAGCCUCCAGCAAGUCCCUCGCACGCGCAACACGCGCUUCUUAUUAUAAUUAGGUUGCAUGCCUACUGUAGAUUAGAAGGAACUACAUAAAAGCACAGUUGCAAGAUCGUAUUUUAAUUAUGACUGAACUACCCCUCAGUCCCACUACAGCAGCACCCCAUCAUCUCACGAAGGUUGAACCAGCCCACGAAGCUGUCGUUAUACUUCUUAAUAAGUUUACCUCCACCCUCUCGCAGAUUUUAAACCUGACCAGUUGUGGCUGACCACGUGGGGGCACCAACCCCUUUGCUUGCCUGUAGGAUGCACUCACUGAAUGUCAUCUUAAUUGUGUAGUUCCAUCGGAAUGAUAUACCUCUUGUUUUAAAAAAACUACGUUAACAAUGAAUAAUUAGCUUAGUUAUGAAAUCAGAAAUGUGCCAUAACCGUUCAUCCAUCUAAGGAUCUUAGUAAAAAAAAAUAAUAAUAAUAAGAUUACGAAGAUUAAUUCUUUAUGGAUAGUUGCACAAUUCUUACUCGAUCCUGCAAAAGCGUAUACAAAGAGGGGAGUCAAGUCCUGUAGAUCCCAUAAACAAAUACAGAGGAAGCGUGGACCUCCACGCGAAAGCUUGUACAAAUUAAACUUAAACAAAAAUCUUCAGUGUCGGCUUCUGUAUUUUGUUUAUUGGAUCCCUGCAAGGAUAAAACGAUAGCUCGAUUCAUACAUGGCACGACAUUGUUCAAAUUUCUUUUUUUCUUAUUACGUUUUAAAGUCGACAAGUAGGACACCUCGCUAUCGUCUGCCUAAUGGAAAUGGUUGAUGAGCCAAUCGACUCCUUCCGAAGUGCGAGGAGACAGUAUAUACUUAAACUUCAGAGCGCUAAGAGCGUAACCGAAAAAAAACAAACAAAAACAGCUAGAGCCUACAGCUCUGACCUUCGACAACCGAUCGAAAAAAAUAAAAAUGCACCGGCCCCCGCCACAACAUCGUUGCGAAUUGCAAGGAUAUGGCAUAGCUAGUAUUGAGAAGUGAUUAUGGACAGGGUGCUAAGGGCGUGUAACCGACAAAAGGCUUACCGCUUCGAAAUUCGACAUCCGACGCAUCAUGGGGGAACAUCAUGAUAUUCAUUGUAGAGAUUUCAUUAAACAUGCUUGGACUUGCAGUCGACCAGGCUACCUCUCCCCAUUAAUCCGUUUUUGUGUACGACACGGAUUAACUCUCGAGAAAUGAUAAGAUCACUUUUCCGUAUUCCAUUAAGAUGUUGUUGUGUUAGCGACGCUUUGCAUAUUAGACGACGGGAUGGCUGAAGGUCACGCUGUUUUCACUCAGAAUGUGAUAUCUCUUCUGCUGAUUUGCAUGAGUACACGAGCAAGUCGAAUAAACGCUCGAAGAUACACGAUGUUAUUGCAAUAGCAAGCAUUUGCAUAUAAGACAACUCGUUGGAUAAAGGUCGUACCUUUUUACUCUAGCCGGUGUCGCCUUUGCAACUCGAAGACAGGAAAAAUAAUUACUAUGCGAUACAUGUUGCGCCGCAGGAAAAAGAAGAAGAAAAAAGACGCAGUAUACUAAUGACAGCCACCUCCAUGCUGACUGCUUUGAUUUCUGAACAGAGCGAGCCAACCCGGGUAAAGCCGUAAUUACCUCUCAAGGAUAAACGAUAAUAUCCCUUUCCUCCUCACGUCUUUGGGGCGAGACGGUCGACGCUGCAGUCUCAUAGGCAAAUGAAGCGACUUCUAUAUAAGACGGUUCGUCCGCAACGCUUUCCGGACUGAGCUGGAACGCCAAGUGAAUGCCACUUGAUUGUUUUCAGGUGGAUUCACUUGACAUUCCAGCUCAGGUUUUUCCGUGCGGGUGUUUGACUGGAAAAGCAGACUAAGAACACUUCACCUGCACGUCAAUGGCAAACAGGUCAGAAAGAAAGGAAUGUGUCUACCUUCAUUUGUGAGAUGUAGCUAGUCUUCACCCAACUCCUACGUGCAUUGGGGGAAAGCCUACUUUAGGAAAUGUUCAGUCUUGUUACUGCAUGUUUCUUUGCAUUUAAACUUAGCGAAACGGUGUUUUUUUUUUAUCGUUUGAUUUUGGUUUGACAUAAAACAUAUUUUCCAGUUCAUCUUCCUUCUUUUGCUGUAACUACUCCGAGGAGGUUGAAGGGAAGAGUUUGAGAUCUUCCUUGACAACAAGGCAAAAAUGUGUGCUAUACAAUGGAGAAGAGGUGGAAAACUUUUUUUUUUCAAGUUAAUCCACUCGGGAUUCCAGAUGAAGAUUUUUUUCUCCGUGAGAGUGUUUGACUGGAAAGACAGACUGUGGAGACGUGUUUGAGACGACACACAGGCUGCAUCCGAAAUUCGUGUGUGUAACCUCUUCUCCAUCUGCCACACACAUCUCUACCUAGCACAGGCUGCUCUUCAUCUGCGUCUGAUGAUGACGACCAUGCGCCAUCAAGCCGAGGAUCAACCUCAGGCCAUGUUGUGUCAUCGGCGGCUGACUUGUCUUGACUGGUCAUUACAAACCAAGUUCAUUCUAUACAGCAAGAGGAGAAAGCAAAUUGUCAUCAUAACAGCGAAGCCUCCAUAACACAAGUAAGCUAUGUCAUCCGUCAUGGAAAAGUUGGAUAAACUGAAAAAAUGUGGUGACGGUGAAAUUCAGAAAAUGAGCAACAUACCCAAAAACGAAAAGUUCGAAGUGCUGGACAUUCAGAAAAUUGACACUAUGUAUGGCGAGGCAGUAUACGUGGAGCUCCGCAUGGAAAACGACAAGCCAGUGAAAGUGUAUCUACCUGGACGCUUCAAAAAAUUGUCGGAGGAAGAGCUAGAGGAAAUGCGACUGCUUCCAAAUCUCAAAAUGGAGAAGAAAGAACGGUUUACCAAAGAUGGUAAAAAAGUCAUUUCGCCAGAUAUUAUCUUCACCAAUUCGAAGAGAAAGUGAUGAGAUAUGGUGACGUGUCACUUAUGCUCCCAGCACGAACGGCAGUAUUAUGCAACAGCAUUAGGUCUUCAGAUUCACUUGGCAAAUGUUCACAAUCUUCAAGCCCCCUGCAUUCCUUUUUGUGAGACUUUGUGCACACUGCGAAACUAUACUAAUCGGUUCGAGCUACAUUUACACGACAGGGACGUUAGCGGACAUGAUGUUACAACCUUUUUUCACGAGUACAGACAGUACAUUGCUGAUGUCUUACGACACUUUGGUUUCCCACUGCGCUAUUUUGUAUUGCUUAAAGUGGAACUUGGUCGUCACACGCCAGACGAUGAGUUACAGCUCGAAAUUAGUUUCGUGCCUUCCAAAGUAGUGACAGUAUGGUCAGAGGCAGAUGUAGAACCUUCUAUCACUCAAGUGACUGCUGAAAUAGCACAAAAUUUGGAAAACCUCGAAGUAGAAGGUUCAGGUUUUUUUCUCUUUCGCAUUCAUGCCUGUAUCAUGAACAUUGGACGUUUGAUGCCUCAACUGAUUGGAUGU